UGCCGGUUCUCUGACCGUGUACGUCAGCAGUGCUUUCUGAGUGUGAGGGCUUUCUGUACUGCUCCUGCAGGCACUAGGUGCUUUUGUGUUGAUGCUCAUGAAUAUUUCAUGAGAAUUUUCUGGAACUGUUGUUUUACUUCCUGCUUUUACAUAACAGCCAUGUUACACACAGAGAGUGCUUCAAACGUCACGAUUCAGAGGAGCAGACUGAGGAAGACAGAAGUGAUGCCGUAAACAUCGAUGCCAAAGAGAGCUUGGAGGACAAGAGACGGUAUAAUCUAGCCUGUCCUCCUGUAGUGACUUACGGCAGGUACCGUGGAUUGAGGGAAGCCCGGAAACCAAAGAAGAAGCAUCGUGUCGAGCUUCAUUCGCCCAUCUCUGAGGGAGAAGAGACUACGCAACCCAACGGCCAUGAGGACAGUGAGAUCUCCUCCUGCGCUGUGAACACCAUGAGCUCUGAUGGUCAUGAAAACCCCACUGCCGUAAAUCAAGCAUCUCCUUCACAGCAGAUAGAAGAAGUGUCAGCUCAAGCAGACGAGGUUCUCGCUGUUGAAUCUGAACUCCUGUGUCUGAGCAGCUCUCAGAGAGAGACUGAGCUUGUGUGUGUGUAUAAAUCAGUGCUGUAGCUCAUGUCUAAUAGAUGAAGUCAUUGUGUCUGCAUGUUUCUGAGCACUGAAAGCUUAUGCAAUGUGGUUUUGCUAAUGCAUGUCCACGAACUCGCCUACGUUCUCUGUUAUUCAGCAGCACUCAAACACGCGUGGAAAUCACAUGGGGGAUGUUUUUCACUUUGUUUUUCGUAAACUUGAAAUUGUACUGGUGCACAGUGCACAGACGGCUGAUUUGAUCCAGAGAUUAUGAAGAAAACAACAGCGUCACGUACAUGCUGAGAUGUUUUUAAGGUUUAUGUAUGAGCCUUUGACAAAAAUUGUACAUGAAAUAUUUGUUUGUGUAAGUUGAUGAGUUCUGCGAUGUUCCUGUCCUGUGUUUCUGAAUGCUUUUUGUUCAAUCACUUCCUUUUCUUUGUUCUCUGAGACUCUUUUGGUCUCCACAGCAAUGUCCUUGAGAUUCUGUGUGUGUGAGAGACGUUGUGUUGCUUGUUAAGAUGCUGAUGGGUGUUUGAACACUGUGUGUUCAGUCGGUUGCUGUAUGUUGAUCCGUUUCACCGUGGCUCGUGUGUUCUUCUGGAGGAGGGUCAGACUCUAAAGACCAGCGGAGGAUCUCCACAGGACCUGAAGGAGACCAGUCUGUCUGUGCGCUCUGUCCGGACGCUGCUCAAGGUAUCAGGAGCCGUCUGUCUCUGUGUUUUGG
rnacentral:lncRNA from 1 species